rnacentral:lncRNA from 1 species
GCCUUCCUUAAUGUAGCACUGGCAUGGAAGGCAGGCCCGUGUUGGCGAGGGACAAUUGUUAUCUCAUGUGAGCCGCGGAGAUACCAGGAAGCCCCUGGACACAAUGGCAAAGACUCCUUUGGAAGUUGUUGGAUCCCUUCUGAAUGUGGCGUUGGCAUAAAAGGCGAGCUUGUAUCAUGAGGAAUGAUUGUCAUCUCGUAUGAUCCUUGGAGAUGGCAGGAAGCCCCUGGACACACAUGGUGUGGACUCCUUCAGAGGCUGUUGAAACCUUCCUUAAUGUGAGUGGUGUUGGCGUCAAGGCAGGCUUGUAUCAUGAGGAAUAAUUGUCACCUCGUAUGAUCCUUGGAGAUGGCAGGAAGCCCCUGGACACACAUGGUGUGGACUUCUUCAGAGGCUGUUGAAACCUUCCUUAAUGUGAGGCCAGAGACAGGCGGACAGCAAAUGUAUCGCAGCGGGCUGGAUGACAUGGCCCUUGGAACCUGUGCACAUGCCUGCCUUUCUGAUGCAUGUCCGUGUUUUCUCUGCACCUCCCCAGUGGUGUUUGUGUAAAAAGCAGGCUCAUGUUAGCAAGGAAUGAUUGUCAUCUCAUGUGAUCCUGCGAGAUGGCAGAAGUCUGGGGCCACAUGGAGUGUGGGCUCCUUCGGAGGCUGAUGGAACCCUCCUGAAUGAGUUGUGGCAAUGGAAGUAAGGCCAGUGGCUACGAGGGACAGUCUUCAUCUUGGAAGAUCCAUCGAGAUGGCAGGGAGCCCCUUGACAAGUGGAAUCUGGUCUCCUUUGGUGCUGCUGGUGGAUCCCACAGGUGGUCUGACAUGGAAGAAGGCCACAGGCUGCGAUGGAUGAUCUUUGUCUUGGGGGAUUCCUGGAGAUGGUGGGGAGCCCCUGAGCACGUGCAGCACAUGUGGCGUGGGCUUCUUCAGAAGCUGGUGGACCCCUGAGGAUGCUCGUCAAGGUUUUUCUGUGAGUUCUGUUAAAGAGUCGGAAAAUGGAGCCUAGAAGACAUGCUUCAGUUUCCAGGAUGGUUGUGUUUUCCAGAGAGGCAUAGUUCAUUGUGGAACCAGCACAGAUUUCCAUAUGAAAGUUUUUUUUUUUAACCUUAAAAAGUGACAGAAUGGAGUGUAUCAUGGAAAAAUCUGACAUCAAAACCUCAAAAUGUGAUAUUGAUUGGGUGAGAUAGAAUUCCAUGGAAUUCCAUUGCCAAACCAGUGAAGUGCUAAUUUUGACAUUUGUACCAGCUGAUGUAGCUGUGAAGAAGCACAUCAAUACCACUUCUAAGGACAGCAUACACCAAGAACUGGGUUUCAUAUGGAUGAAUUUAUUCUUCCUUUGAGGCAAGACAAGAAGGAAAGAAAGUAUUGGGACUAAUGCCAUCCUCAAGGGCCAGUGGGAACUCUAAUAUUGAUUGGUUGUCACAGAAUUCCGUGGACUUUAACCAGUGAUGCGCUGAUUUUGUCAUUUGUACCAGCUAACUCAUCUGGGAGGCAACAAAACAAUAUUCUCCUGAGAAUGAAGUGGACCAAGAACUGGGCUUCAUACGGAUGAAUUUAUGUUUUUCUCCAUGUGGAGACGUGAAGGAAAAGUAUAGGAAAUAAUUCUGCCUCCCACCCACAAGUCCCCAUGGGAAUUUCUCACAUGUUAAAAAGCAUUUUGUCCUGAAAAUAACAACAUUUUUUCUUAGGGAAUCAGGACACUCCAAUGACGGUUAAUGUGGACGAAGAACUAGAUUUCAUGUAAAAGAGUUUAUUCCUUCUACUUGAGGUGUGACUUGAAGGAAAGUAAUGGAAAUAAUUCUGCCCUCCCAUUCUCAAGGGCCGGGGGAAUUCUAAUCUUGAACGGAAGUGAUUUUGGAAUUGCAUGGAAUUCUCACUGCCAUCCCAAAGAAAUGCUGAUCUUGUCACUCUCACCUGUUCCGUUGCCUGGGGCAGAACAAAAGGAUGUACUUCAAAGAGCGACAUGAACCAAGAACUGGGUUUCAUAUGAAAUAUUUUAUUCUGUCCUCUUGAGAUGUGACAUGAAGAAAAGUGUUGAGAAUAUUUCUAUCACCUCAUCUUCAAGAAUCAGUAGGAAUUCUCCCAUGGUUCCAUGUGAUACUAGAGUUGCGUGGAUUUUUAAUCUUUACACCAAUGAAGAUCAGAGGUUAACAGUGCCCUUUUUUUAGAAGUUUGUAUUUGUCACUGAUAACUGUAAUAACUGAUCUUGUUGAAAAGCGUGAGAAAUGAAGAUCUGAUAUGUCACUUUUACCAGCUUCCUCAACUGAGAAAGAAUACAAUGAAACAUGCUGAGAAUUUUUGUGCUUUCUCAGUCUUGCUGAUGAUCUUUCUGUGGGCAUGAAGCAUGGAGAGUGCCAGAGAGGCUGAUCCUCAACAGUGUGACAGCGGAAAGUUGGGUGUGACCAAGAGGUAUGCGGUGCCCAAAUGCCAGUAGGUCCUCAGCAGUACCACCUGGUCAACAAAGACAAGGCACCUAGCCUCACAUGAAACUUCAUUGCUUUCCCUUGAGAUGUGACAUGACAGAAAAUGUCAGAAAUGAUUUUUCCAUCCCAUCCUCAGGGACCAGUGGGAAUUAAUUUUACCAUUACACCUUCAAGGGCCAGAGAUCGGAAGUGAUAUUGGUGGAAGACAACACUUUGCCGCUUGCAGUUCUCACCUCCACACCAAAGAAGGACUGUUUUUGUCAUUUGCACCAGCUGCGUUCUCCGGGAAAGAUCAAAACGAUGCACUCCAAGGGCAUGCCAUGUACCCCUCAGGACCUGAAGCAAGAAAAUGAAUUAAAGAAGACUCCAGAGAAUGAGCUGACAACUUACUCCCUGGUCAGUGGCUCUCCAUGCCUACCUGUGGUUUCUUGGACACCCUUGCAGAAGAUGACUUCCUGGGAACUCUUCUGAGAAUGAAUGUUAUCAGCAAAUUCCCGAAACAACACCCCUUAGACAAAAAGCCUCCUCACCUAUGCAUUGCCUAGGCCACCCACUAAAGGUGAUGGCCACAAAGAGGUGGAUUUGUUGAGUUGGUGCCAUUCCUUCUACUGCCAGCUUCACCAAAACAAUGAUUCAGUCUUCCUUAUGCAUGGGGACUCUUCUCUUUCCUGUGUUGCAGUGGAUACCUCCUGCAGAUAAGAAAUGCUUAACUGAGAAAUGCUCAUGUUGGGAUAUCAUCGAUGAGACUUUAAUUGGGGCAUGGUGACUGUUUCCCUUGCUGCCACUUGACUCAAUCCCAGGAGCCUCAGUAGAGGAUAAAAUAUUACACAAGAUGCUCAAAAUGGUGGAAUUGCUCAGUGCUCCCAUAAAUAUACAUUUAUAAUUUUCAUUUGCCGCAUGGUAAACUGAAAAAUACAGAAUAUAUUAAAAAGAAA